rnacentral:rRNA from 1 species
CCUACGGGAGGCAGCAGUGAGGAAUAUUGGUCAAUGGGCGCGAGCCUGAACCAGCCAAGUCGCGUGAGGGAUGAAGGUUCUAUGGAUCGUAAACCUCUUUUAUAAGGGAAUAAAGUGUGGGACGUGUCCUAUUUUGUAUGUACCUUAUGAAUAAGGAUCGGCUAACUCCGUGCCAGCAGCCGCGGUAAUACGGAGGAUCCGAGCUUUAUCCGGAUUUAUUGGGUUUAAGGGGUGCGUAGGCGGCCUUUUAAGUCAGUGGGGAAAGUCUGUGGCUCAACCAUAGAAUUGCCGUUGAAACUGGGGGGCUUGAGUAUGGUUGAGGCAGGCGGAAUGCGUGGUGUAGCGGUGAAAUGCUUAGAUAUCACGAAGAACCCCGAUUGCGAAGGCAGCUUGCCAAGCCAUGACUGACGCUGAUGCACGAAAGCGUGGGGAUCAAACAGGAUUAGAUACCCGAGUAGUC